UACGUAGGGGGCAAGCGUUGUCCGGAAUCACUGGGCGUAAAGGGUGCGUAGGCGGGUCUUUAAGUCAGGGGUGAAAUCCUGGAGCUCAACUCCAGAACUGCCUUUGAUACUGAAGAUCUUGAGUUCGGGAGAGGUGAGUGGAACUGCGAGUGUAGAGGUGAAAUUCGUAGAUAUUCGCAAGAACACCAGUGGCGAAGGCGGCUCACUGGCCCGAUACUGACGCUGAGGCACGAAAGCGUGGGGGAGCAAACAGG
rnacentral:rRNA from 1 species